UGGGGAAUCUUGCGCAAUGGGCGAAAGCCUGACGCAGCCAUGCCGCGUGAAUGAUGAAGGUCUUAGGAUUGUAAAAUUCUUUCACCGGGGACGAUAAUGACGGUACCCGGAGAAGAAGCCCCGGCCAACUUCGUGCCAGCAGCCGCGGUAAUACGAAGGGGGCUAGCGUUGCUCGGAAUUACUGGGCGUAAAGGGAGCGUAGGCGGACUGUUAAGUUAGAGGUGAAAGCCCAGGGCUCAACCUUGGAAUUGCCUUUAAUACUGGCAGUCUUGAGUACGGAAGAGGUAUGUGGAACUCCGAGUGUAGAGGUGAAAUUCGUAGAUAUUCGGAAGAACACCAGUGGCGAAGGCGACAUACUGGUCCGUUACUGACGCUGAGGCUCGAAAGCGUGGGGAGCAAACAGGAUUAGAUACCCUGGUAGUCCACGCCCUAAACGAUGAGUGCUAGUUGUCGGCAUGCAUGCAUGUCGGUGACGCAGCUAACGCAUUAAGCACUCCGCCUGGGGAGUACGGUCGCAAGAUUA
rnacentral:rRNA from 1 species